AACGAACGCUGGCGGCAUGCCUAACACAUGCAAGUCGAACGAGACCUUCGGGUCUAGUGGCGCACGGGUGCGUAACGCGUGGUAACCUGCCCUUAGGUUCGGAAUAACUCCCCGAAAGGGGUGCUAAUACCGGAUAAUGUCUUCGGACCAAAGAUUUAUCGCCUUUGGAUGGGCCCGAGUUGGAUUAGCUAGUUGGGAGGGUAAAAGCCUACCAAGGCGGGGAUCCAGAGUUGGUCUGAGAGUAGGAUCAGUGAGACUGGGAUUGGGGCACGGCCCCGACUGGAGCGGGAGGCGGGAGUGUGGGAAAUAGGGGAAGGGGCGAGAGGCUGAAACACCAAGGGCGGGAUGACGACGUACGGGUUAGGAUUGGAAAUCGCUUGUACCCGGGAGUAUAAGGACGGAACGGGGAGAAGAAGAACGGGCGAAUACGGU
rnacentral:rRNA from 1 species